rnacentral:lncRNA from 1 species
GUCGUGUGGCCUCAGUCCUUCGCCGUCCCUCGCCGUCCUUCGCCAUCGCACGCCACCGCACCCCAUCUCUCGAAAUCUGCAGACAUCUUGAUUUUUCCCACGCUGUCUGUCAGGUCUCCGCCGCCACUCGACGCCAGGGCGCCGGGUGAGUCCACAGCAGGGCGCAUGGUCGGCUCCACUCUCACCAUCGGGGGAAACUGAGGCCCCGGGGAAGGCGGCCAGAGAGGUCAGGCCCUGUCCUUGGUGCAGUGUCUCGUCCUCUUUGCCGGAGUGAGCCCCCCAGGAUUCGCGUGUCCUCGGGAAAGACACUGGCAGGCCUUGUGGGCUGUGCUGCACCUCGGACGGCUUCGCACCAGCCAGCGCCCUCUCUCUCCUGCAGCACUCUGAUCUGCACCCCCUGAGGGGCUUCCACUGUCCGCGGGGUGAGAAUGCCCCUGGGAGUGUCACAUGACUGCCGCCCCAUGUGUGUGAGAGGCGUCCUCUGGGAGAGCAUGGAUCCUGAGGUCCCAGGAUUGUCAGCUGACCUCUGUCCUGUGUGCCCAGUGGCCCCAGGUGACGUGUCUUCAAGAAGAGGCUGAGCUGCGGUGCUUGUAAGGGUCUCAUUCUGUCACCCAGGCUGGAGUGCAGUGGUGCAAUGAUGGCUCACUGCAGCCUCGACCUGGGCUCAAGUGAUCCUCCACCUCAGCUUCCUGAGUAGCUGGGACCACAGAGUCAUGUGCUGUUCCUGGGGCUUGGAUGAUGUAGGGGAAGCAAGGUGAAAGUGGUAUCCCGUGGUUCCACGUUCUGUCCUGCUGUGGGGCUGUCCCUCACAUGCUUUCAGUGGCUGUUGCAGAGGAAGAGCCUCCGGAAAUCUGCGUGGGUAAAGUGAGCUCCCCGGGGGAACCGUCCUCCUCCCUUGAGCGCUGGUGUGUCCAUAGUGUGCUGUGAUCUGGAUUAGCAGUGAGUUUUUCUUUCAGGGUGUGUGUGUAUGAUGUUAGGACCAUAUGCUCCUGACCUUUUCCAACCCAAAAGCGUUUCCAUUUUUUUAAUGCUGGAAGUGUCUUAACUCCUUUUGGGGUCUUAGAAGGACACACGGUGGCCGUGGCUGGGCCUCUGCUCAGCUGGGCUGCUCUCCCUGCCUCAGGCCCUUGACACCAGCCUCCCUCCCUUGCUGGCUCUCUUUCUGUCCUUCCCUGCUCUUGUAUCCAAAAGUGAUCAUGGGUUGCCUGUGUCCCGAUCAUUAACAGUGCAGGGGUAGGAGUGCUGAAAGACAUCUUCCCUGCGUUGGUCCAGCCUUCCCUUUCAAACCCUGGAGCUUUCCCACGCUGCAGCCUUUUUCCAACUAGGCUUUCAGAGCUUGGGCCUUUGUGGGCCCAUGUGAUGUGGUGACUAGACCCACCCCCUGACUUCUGAGGGUUCAUUUUGUCUUUUCAUGUUAGGGAUCCUCCUGCCAGAAACCAGUCUGCAUUUCUCUCUGGGCCCCACGCUGGAAUGAAUUCAGAUAGCAGUGAAGGGCACACGUGAGAACUGCGAAUCACGGGCUUUGCUUCAUGAAAUGUGAAAUCCACAUUGUUUCCACAGGCACCAUCAGUAAUGUCGAACAAAUGGAGAAAGUUGCAGGUGGGGCUAGGAAAGCUGUAUUCCUGUGGAUUACUCUAGCUGGUCAUUUGCCCCGAUUGUGAACUGCUUGAAAGAAAAACGAAACUUCUAAGAUGUUUGUCCUUUCAUGUCCUUUCUGUUGGGAUUUUUUAUUUGGUGUGCGUGAAUGAGGAGCUUCGCCCUGCUUGAAUGGGACCCCUCUCAGUGGUGUCAGCUUGGGGAGGAGGAGAUGGCCCUGGAGACUAAAUACUUGUAUGCUUUCUUACCCUCUUAGGUCUCAGCCUUAGAUCCAAGGACAGUCCAAGGAAGUCCUAAGACCAUGGAGUUGGUGAUCUGGGAUCUGGGUUUGCUGAUAUUUCUCACCGUGGUGAGUUGAUGCCAAGAGCCAGAACCCACAGCCAGAGGCUCAGCUGGUCCGUGUUUAUGCAGAUGGGAACCUCAAAUCACUGGUCUCACUUGUCCUUUGUUUCAGAAUCUCUUGGUGGUGUUUGUGGGCACGAGAGGGGCAGAGAAUGGAGAGUGAGGCUACCACAUGAAGCGUCACCAGAGCUGCUCCCUGCUGCCUGCUCAGAGCACCCCGGAUCCACUGUUCAAUCUGCACAAGAUUCGGGGUCCAGACAUGGGAGACUUCAGCUGCCUCAGAGGACCGUGGACAGGGAAGGCCAGCCUCGCAUCCCUCUGUCCAUGCCUGGAAUGACUUUAAUAACCAAGAGUUUUAUUUUUGAAUUUGUAGCUGUCGUUCACUUUUUACCCACCCAUUCAAUAAACCUUACAGAAUUGCU